rnacentral:lncRNA from 1 species
UAACAUCUUCCACCUCUUGCGAUCUUUCCAUUUUCAUAUUUGUCUCCCAGGUUCUCCCUUUCGAAUGUCGCGUGUGCUUUACUCGUCUUCGCCUUUUGCUCUGGGUAUGUAUCCAUCUUGUAUCUCUCUAUUUAUGUGCUUCCUUGCUCUUAUUGAAGCAUGCCUUACUGAUGGGUAGUUCUUCUUCCUUCAUUACUGAUUGACUCUUCUCUUGAUCCUGAUUAGGAUGUAAAUUGAUGUUCCUCGUAUCGUGGAGUGCGUAGUGGUCGCCAUCUAGACGCAGCUCAGUUCCAGGUUCUUACAUGUCCUCUGCUCUUUUUUCCUUUUCUUUAUUAUGUUCUGACUCCCCCUUCUUUUGUGUCAGCUGAUAUUGUGCUGAAUAUUCAUAUCUCUUUGGAUUUUGUGUUGACCUCCAUGUUUGAUUGUUAUCGAUGAUGUUGUACCCCUUUUCUUUUGGCGAAAACGUUUUUGUGCUGAUAUAGAUUAGCAAAAAAGUUAAUUUGAUAGCUGUAAGGAUCCCUUUCUGAGGGUUUUCUUUUUCGUAAAUAGCUUUUUUGCUCUCCCUCCCUGUUUGUCUAUAUGUCUGAUCUUGGAACUUCAUGGUGUCUAAUCUUCUUAUACCUUAUUCUGAUGGAUGGAGUUUGUGUUUUGUCCAUAUUUACGAUGCGUUUGCCAGUUGUUGGUAGAUCUAUAAAGCUAUUGAACUCUUGUUUCUCUAUGUGAUUAAUAGCUAGGUUAGCUAAAUAAUCUGCUAUUUGAUUGCCUUCCCUGAAGAUAUGUUUGAUUUUAACCUUCUGUGUCCGCACCUCCUUCAUUAUAUCUUCCACUAUUUCUGCGAUUUCCCAAGGUAUCCUCUAAUCCCUUUGUAUGAUGUUCUUUAGAGUAAGGGAAUCCAUCUCAAUUAUGAGAUUUAAUUCAUUUUUAGUAAGGUUUUAAGGGUCUAAUCCUAUUAGGUUUAGCUUUAUAAUCCUAAUAUACGCCUAGGGUUUUAGUUGAGAGUUCAAGAAGAGAAAAGAGGACAAAAGAGGAGAGGAUCAAAGCGUUCGUCUAGAUUCUUGAGUUUUAUUGCGGAUUUUCGCCAUGGGUUUAAUCCCUAAGAGGUAUGUAAGCUUCCAUAGUGUUGGUUUUGUUCACCCACACACCAAUCAUAUUAAUUUCAACGUUAAAUUCGUUCUAGAAAGUUGAAGGUUUGAUGUUCUUGAAUUGUGUUCUUGAAAUUGACUUCCGUUCUUGAGUUAAGAUAAGAUUAAUGAGUUCUUGAGGAAAUCGUAUCAAUUUUAGAGUUGUGUUUGAUUAGAUUCUUGUGUACAUGUAUUGGGUAUCUGAAUAUAAAGAGAAAUUGAGAAAAAUAAUCGAAUUUAGGCGAAUUGGGGUUAGAAAAUGAAAAAGGAAAAAGUCAGGCAAAAACUCGGUACAAGGUCCGCGACGCAGACCUGUUCCUCAGAAACAUAACUUUUCUCUUUGCGUCGCGGAGAGGUCACGGAACCCCUCUGCCUCAAAAUUUAUUUCACGACCAAAUAUUAAAAUGCAUCUCCGCGUCGCGGACUUGCUUUCAGAUAGUGAUUUCUUGAUUGUUUCUCAUGUUUAACUAUCUAAAAACACUCCUAAACAUCACACGAUCUUUCCUAUCACAAAUCACAACGUUGAAUUCAUAAAUCAAAUUCAAGGUAGAGUUGAGAGUCAAGUCUUGAGAGCUCAUUCGAACAUUUUUGAGAAAGUCCCUUUGAGUCUUUUUGAGAAGUCUUCUACAAUUUCUAGUAAUUUGUUUCAAAACUCGAGCAAGUGAGUAUGAGAGUGAGGAGAAUGUAUUCCUGAGUCUACCUUAUCAUUACGAUAUCCUUCAUAUCAUUAAUCAUAACUCUUGAUUCCAUAAUCCAAAUUUAAGAGAGAGUUAAGAGUAGAGUUCAAGAAAGUCUUUGAGUUCAAUUGUGAAUCAUUUGAGUUCAACUAUUGAUUCGAGCUAAGUUUUGAGGAAGUAAAUAUGAGAACAAGAAGAGUCAUAUACACGGGUUCCAUAUCAUUAUGUAGACCAUUGAGUCGAGUCGUUCAUGCCCAUAAAUUCCUCAUGAACUCCAUAAGUUGAGUAUCUUUGAAAGAAGUAGUAUCUUCAAGUUCUAAGUCUUGAGUAUUGAGUUCAUAAUCCUUUUGAGAUUUUAUUCCUCAUCAUGGGACCAUUACAUGUUACUAAUAAAGUCCUUGAGUUGAGUAGUUCAUGCCCAUAACUCCGCAUGAACUCUAUAAGUCGAGCAGUCUUGAGAUGAGAAGUAUUUUUAAGUCCUUGAGUUGAGUAGUUCAUGCUCAUAAUUCCGCAUGAACCCUCUGAGUUGAGCAUUCUUGAAAUAAGUAGUAUCAUUGAAGUUAUUGAGUUCUACCUAUGGUUAUUGAAAACCUUGAAUUGAUUCGUUCACGUCCAUAAUUUGGCAUGAAACCUAUUUUAAGAAGUCUUAUAUAAAUGUUUUAAACUUGUUUUGACUUGAGUUUUGAGUUGAAUAAAGAGUAAAUAGUGAAAUUCUUUUCUUCAAAAGAGUAUAUGGGGACUAUGUAUUCCCAAAGAGUAAAUGUUUUUACAUUUAAACAAGAAAGGAAACAUUGAUUUCCAACAGAGCCUUUGAGCUAGUUUUUCAGUAAAGAGUAAAUGCUUUCAUAUUUAAGCAAGAGAGGAAACACUGAUUUCCUAGAGCCUUUGGGCUAAUUUUUGAGUAAUUAUGUCAAACCACAGAAAGAGUUGUGUUUUUAAAACAUAUGAGCUAGUUAUAUUUUGGGAGCAGUAUUGAGCACCGAUAUGGGGGAGAGUUCAGAUAACUCACAGCCCCCAUAAACCAUGUAGCCAACGUGGGUAGAAAAUGGUCAUACUUUUUAGAUGAUUCCUUAGUGCUUUUUAGCAUAGAAUAGUGGAUCCACUUAGUACUUAGGUUCUAUACCACUGGCAAGGUAUAGGACGACCUUGGCAGCGUGAGGCAAAACGUUGUAUCAUCAAAUAGGUCAUAAGUGAUGGUUGUCGGUUAGAGAAACUCCCACAGAGACAUUUUGUAUUCUUAUAUACAUAGAGUUUAUUUUGUAUUUUCAUAUACAAACAGAGUUUAUAUUGUAUCCUUGCAUACAAACUGAGUAUAUUGUAUUCUUAAAUACAUUGAGCCCUAUUUUCUCUGAGUUGAGUUGAACUAUGUUUCUUGAGUUGAGUUUAGUUGAGUGAGUUGAGAAGAGGUAAGUAUGUUUCUUUUUUAUCAAGUUCAAGCUUAUGUUAUGCUUUAGAAUUCCCCUUACAUGCUCGUACAUUCCAUGUACUGAGCCAUUUGGCCUGCAUUGUUUCAUGAUGCAGUUACAUGUAAUCAGGAUCAUCAAUAGGAGCUUCGUUGCUACCAUAUACAGUUCGAGUUAACUAUGGUGAGCCUCCUUGCUUUCGGAGGGUUCCACUUGUACUUUCAGUUAUAUCAGCUGCUAGAAUGUCGUGGGUCUUGUCCCGACUUCCAUCUUUGUCAGUUAGAGGCUUCAUAGAUAGACAGUAGAGUUUCAGAAAUUUGUUCAUUUAUUUUGUUAAAUAUUUUAAAGACUUAAGUUGCCUAUUUAUGGUGAGUUCAAUAUAUGAUUUUUAUUCAAAGUUAUUCAUUUGAUUUAAAGACUUGUAAUUGAGUUAAAUGAAUUUUAUUCAGUUUUUAAGCUUUGUAUGUUUAAGUUAGUCUUCCGCUUGUAGUCAGCCAGGAUGAGGGUUCGCUUGGGACCAACAAUGGUUCUCGAGUGCCGACCAUGUCCAGGGUGUAGGCUAUGGUUGUGACACACCUAAAUCCCUAUAUAAGUGUUUUUAACCCCAAACUUCCCCAAUUGAAAACCAUUCUCUCAAAUUUUUAAAAGAAGAACAAGUCUUCUUCUUCAAAAUAUUUCUCUAUCUAGGAAGCUUGAAGAAGGAGUCAACCUAGGGUUUCAAGUUAAGCCUCCAAUUCUACCAUUGAAGGCAAGCUCUUGGUAUUGAGGUAUGAUAGUUUUCAUCCAUGGAACCCUCUCCACCAUGGAGCUCCUAAAUCCUCCAAUUUACAAAGUUAGAAUCCCUAAUUGAGUUAGAGUUUUCUUCCAUAUCAUGAGUUCCUUUUAAUGUUGAUUUAUUUAAUUGAUUUAUGAACUUUUAUGCAUGAAUUGAUAUAAUCUCAUGAUUUUGAGAUGAAUCCCCAUGAACCCAUGCUUAAUACAUGUAUUUAGAUAUUAAUGAUUGAAAGUAGGUUUUGAACUAUGAAGGGUGAAUUAUGGAAAUAUGCAUGUUCUUAUGAAAUUGAUGAGAUAUGAUGUAAAUAGCCUUGAGAAUAAAAGCAUAUAUGUUGUUGUUGUGGUUAAUUGUUGUGAAAAGAUUGCUCACAUAACUACCCCAUGCACGAAUGUGUAAGGUUUUCUCACAUAAAGAAUUCUAAGGUUGAAAGGUUUUCUCACCUAAAAUGAAUCAAAGUUAAGGAGCUAUUCUAAUGAAACCUAGCUUGGAUUGGUUAAUUUAUUGUACCUUUCCAUGGAUGGCAUAUGACUUAGCUUGGAUUGACAAUAUGACGUGCCCUUCCAUGGAUAAUAAAGAUAAGUUAAGGGAAUGACUAUUCCAUGGGAUUUACGCUUAGCACUGAGAGGAUAUUGAGAUGGAAGUUCUCUCGUUAGUAGAGGUUGGGCUUCUAGUAGCAAUCUCCUUAUCCCAUACCUAAGUUCCCCCAUAGGAUGAUUGUCUUAGAUAGACAUUAGCUAGCGGAUCCACAUAAGCUAGAAGUUCAGGGUCUUACCUUGGCAAGUAGGAUACCCCUUUUCGGUGUGGGGUAGACAUUGGAUUCCGUGUUAAUAGCUCACAUGGUCUUAUAUGUCGGUUAAAGGUAAAUCUCUCACAAUAAUGAACUAAGUUUACUUCAAGAAGUAACUCACAUGUAAUUUAAGAUGAUGUCUAUUUUGAUUGACCGUGUUUUAUGACUUAUGUCUUCUACCCUUUUUAUAUCAUGUUUUAGCUUGCUCAUUGGAUACCAUGACAUAUAUCCCCAUUUUAAGCAUGUUUUCAAAUGUUUUAUGCAUUGCUAUCAUACUUGGUACGUGUUUGUACUAACGCAUACUCUUGCCUACAUUUCCCCAGAUGUAGGGUCCGACCUUACAAAUUCGCACUUCCGUGGCUAGGGAUCUCAUAUAUAUAGAAGCUUGACUAUUGGUG